rnacentral:rRNA from 1 species
UAGGGAAUCUUCCGCAAUGGGCGAAAGCCUGACGGAGCAACGCCGCGUGAGUGAUGAAGGUCUUCGGAUCGUAAAACUCUGUUAUUAGGGAAGAACAAAUGUGUAAGUAACUAUGCACGUCUUGACGGUACCUAAUCAGAAAGCCACGGCUAACUACGUGCCAGCAGCCGCGGUAAUACGUAGGUGGCAAGCGUUAUCCGGAAUUAUUGGGCGUAAAGCGCGCGUAGGCGGUUUUUUAAGUCUGAUGUGAAAGCCCACGGCUCAACCGUGGAUGGUCAUUGGAAACUGGAAAACUUGAGUGCCGAAGAGGAAAGUGGAAUUCCGUGUGUAGCCGUGAAAUGCGCAGAGAUAUGGAGGAACACCAGUGGCGAAGGCGACUUUCUGGUCUGUAACUGACGCUGAUGUGCGAAAGCGUGGGGAUCAAACAGG